rnacentral:rRNA from 1 species
ACACAUGCAAGUCGAGGGGAAACGAUAUUGGAAGCUUGCUUCCGAUAGGCGUCGACCGGCGCACGGGUGAGUAACGCGUAUCCAACCUGCCCAUCACUUGGGGAUAACCUUGCGAAAGUAAGACUAAUACCCAAUGAUAUCUCUAGAAGACAUCUGAAAGGGAUUAAAGAUUUAUCGGUGAUGGAUGGGGAUGCGUCUGAUUAGCUUGUUGGCGGGGUAACGGCCCACCAAGGCGACGAUCAGUAGGGGUUCUGAGAGGAAGGUCCCCCACAUUGGAACUGAGACACGGUCCAAACUCCUACGGGAGGCAGCAGUGAGGAAUAUUGGUCAAUGGGCGAGAGCCUGAACCAGCCAAGUAGCGUGCAGGAUGACGGCCCUAUGGGUUGUAAACUGCUUUUAUAAGGGAAUAAAGUGAGCCUCGUGAGGCUUUUUGCAUGUACCUUAUGAAUAAGGACCGGCUAAUUCCGUGCCAGCAGCCGCGGUAAUACGGAAGGUCCGGGCGUUAUCCGGAUUUAUUGGGUUUAAAGGGAGCGUAGGCCGGAGAUUAAGCGUGUUGUGAAAUGUAGAUGCUCAACAUCUGCACUGCAGCGCGAACUGGUUUCCUUGAGUACGCACAAAGUGGGCGGAAUUCGUGGUGUAGCGGUGAGAUGCUUAGAUAUCACGAAGAACUCCGAUUGCGAAGGCAGCUCACUGGAGCGCAACUGACGCUGAAGCUCGAAAGUGCGGGUAUCGAACAGGAUUAGAUACCCUGGUAGUCCGCACGGUAAACGAUGGAUGCCCGCUGUUGGUCUGAAUAGGUCAGCGGCCAAGCGAAAGCAUUAAGCAUCCCACCUGGGGAGUACGCCGGCAACGGUGCAACUCAAAGGAAUUGACGG